GACGAACGCUGGCGGCGUGCUUAACACAUGCAAGUCGAACGGAAAGGCCCUGCUUUUGUGGGGUGCUCGAGUGGCGAACGGGUGAGUAACACGUGAGUAGCCUGCCCUUGACUUUGGGAUAACUUCAGGAAACUGGGGCUAAUACCGGAUAUGAGCUCCUGCUGCAUGGUGGGGGUUGGAAAGUGUCGGCGGUUGGGGAUGGACUCGCGGCUCAUCAGCUUGUUGGUGGGGUAGUGGCUUACCAAGGCUUUGACGGGUAGCCGGCCUGGGAGGGAGACAGGGCCCAUAGGGCCUCGGGAGCGAGCAGGACGGAAACGUGGGCCAGCGGUGGGAGAUAUAGCAAGCAGGGCCGCGGCAGGGUGGAGCAAUGUCGGGUGCGAGAUGACGGCUUUCGGGGUGUAACGUGCUUUAGCGUGUAACGCAGAGCGAGUGACGGUAAUGACUCAAGAAGCAACGGCUAACUACGUG
rnacentral:rRNA from 1 species